GGGGCCGUAGCUCAGUUGGGAGAGCGCGUGAAUCGCACUCACGAGGUCAGGGGUUCAAAUCCCCUCGGCUCCA
rnacentral:tRNA from 1 species